rnacentral:rRNA from 1 species
CUAUGCGCUAUUUAGUGGCAAACGGGUGAGUAAACGAGCUUAGCUGUCCUAAAGUGGGGGAUAGCCGCGGGAAGCCGCGGGUAAUACCGCAUGUGAUCUACGGAUUAAAGCUUAAUGCGCUUUAGGAGGUGGCUGCGGCCCAUCAGGUUGUUGGCGGGGUAAUGGCCCACCAAGCCUAUGACGGGUAUCCGGCCUGAGAGGGUGAUCGGACACAUUGGAACUGAGACACGGUCCAGACUCCUACGGGAGGCAGCAGCUAGGAAUUUUCCGCAAUGGACGGAAGUCUGACGGAGCAACGCCGCGUGAAGGAUGAAGGUCUUUAGGGAUUGUAAACUUCUUUUAUAUGAGACGAGUAAGGACGGUAUCAUAAGAAUAAGUCCCGGCUAACUACGUGCCAGCAGCCGCGGUAAUACGUAGGGGGCUAGCGUUGUUCGGAAUUACUGGGUAUAAAGGGUGCGCAGGCGGAUUUCCAAGCAAGAGGUGAAAUGUCAAGGCUCAACCAUGGCACUGCCUUUUGAACUGGUUAUCUGGAGUACAGAAGGGGAGAGCAGAAUUUCCGGUGUAGGGGUGGAAUCUAUAGAUAUCGGAAGGAAUACCGUUCGCGAAGGCGGCUCUCUGGUCUGCUACUGACGCUCAUGCACGAAAGCGUGGGGAGCAAACAGGAUUAGAUACCCUGGUAGUCCACGCCGUAAACGUUGUACACUUGGUGGUUGGAUUUAAAAUCUGACUACCGGAGCUAAUGUGUUAAGUGUA